UCGUGGGGAGCGUCUGCGAUCGCCUCGGGGCGGGCGGGCGGGGGUCGGCCGCCGCCUUCAGGGGGUCUGCGAGCGCCGUGGGGAGGGCUGGGGCUCAGGCGCCGUCCCGGGGAGGCGCCGUCAGCCAUCGCCGCAGGAGGUGCGGAGGUCCAGCGCCCGCCGAGAGCGGCCAGGAGCCCGGAGCAGCAGAGGGCACUUGGCACUCGUCCCUGCAGGGAGCACCGGAGCACCAAUUCGCAGCUGGUGGUGGAGCAGACGGAGGAGGCAUCCAUCGUGUGGCACUGCGAGGCAAGAGCGAGCAAGAAGAGGAGCGGAAGAAGCCCGGGAGCCUGAAGUGGAGGGAAGAGAAGGGCACUCUGGGCAAAGGGACCUCCCUGUCACCGGGGCUGUGGUCACACAAGGGCGUUGCCAGCACCUGUGGUGCCCUGGCUGGCUUUGUGCUGGAGGAUGACCUCCCUGUAACCAGGGCUUGGGUCUUUGCUUUUGUUGGCCUUUUGCCACGUUGCCCCAUGGUUAGGCUGCCCAGAGAGAGUGGCAACCCUGUAAGAAGGGUGAGAGCCGCCAUCGUCUCUGCACCUGGGGGGGGAAGUAGAGCUCCUGAAGACAUGGUGUUGUGCUGCAGCCAGGAUGGCCAGCCCAUAACUCUGGCGCAGGUCAGAGCCUCAGGCUCCAUGGGGCUUUUGAGCAUGCCAAGCCGAGGGGGACUGCCCUGUAAGCAGGGCUGUGCACAUCCCCUGUGCUCAACGGGAGGUGCUGGGAGGGACCCCCUGUAAGCAGGCGGGUGUCCCUGGCCCCGGCCUUUCAGAGGCGUGGGGCUGAGAUGAGUGGGGCUGGGCAUGCCCUGCUCUAGCCCUCUUUCUCUCUGCUCUGAGCCCUGGGAGCAGCUUGGGAGAAAGAGGACCACGGGGGAAGGCAGGAGGCUGGGGGGAAGGGGCCCCCUCUGGGGAUUGGGGAUGUGCCUGCAAGCGGGGCCCGGGUCCUGCCUGGGCAGCCCUGGCACUGGGAAGCCUUUUUAUUUCCUUGAGCUGGGCCGCUGCCCUGGAAGCAGGGCUGGGGCCUCUGCUCUUUUGCCUCCCUCCGGGCCACUGGGCACCAUGGCGGUGAGAAGGGUGGGUGAGCCCGGGGGGGUAGAGGGUAGGAGGGGGGAAGGAUAGCUGGGGGUCGGGGAGUGCUGUGGGGACCUCCCUCCGGGGGCUGGCGUCCCGCUCUCCUCCAGGUGGAGGAGCUGGCACUUGACUGUGCCCUCCUUCCUUGGCAGCAGCUCCUGGACAAGAAAGACAAGGCCUGGUGUGGAACUGCAAGGCAAGAGCGAGCGAGAGGAGGAGGGGUGGGCUGAAGAGGGGGAAAGAGAAAGGUGCUCUGGGCAAAGGGACCUCCCUGUCACCGGGGCUGUGGUCACACAAAAGCAUUGCCAGCACCUUUGGUGCCGUGGCUGGCUUUGCACUGGACGACCUCCCUGUAACCAGGGCUCAGGUCGUUGGCCUUUUGCCACGUUGCCCCAUGGUUAGGCUGCCCAGAGAGAGUGGCAACCCUGUAAGGAGGGUGAGAGGCACCGUCUCCACACCCGAGGGGGAAAUGGAGCUCUCUGGACCCCAAGCCCGCCCUGUAAGCAGGGGAGGGCUUUUUCCCCGCGCCCCCCUCCUCUGGCCCCGGCGGCUUUCUGCCUGCUGGCAGCCUGGCCAGCGUGACCCCCCUGGAGUUGGGGCGUGUCAUGGCAUUUGCCCUUUGGCCACCCGUGGAGCCCCUUGGCAUGUUGAGGCUCCUCUGGCCUCCAUGCAGCCCAGGGGGCAGGUCUGAGGCUCUCCUCUCCUGCUUGGGGGUAGGGAAGGCUCCCCAGAGCUUGGCUGCACAGAGCUCGCUCUCUCUUCUGGGAAGUUCUGGUUUUCCCUGCCUGUGUCUGCGUCCGAGUCCGUGUCUGCGUCCGUGUGAAUGAGUGAGCGAAUGAGCUUCUUGUUUAGGCCCCUGUUAAAAUCGCUGCAGCUUAGCUUAGCUUAGCUUAGCUUAGUUUAGCUUAGCUUAGUUUAAACUUCCCAGGAGGGAAAGAAGGGCUCUGUGCAGCAGCGGGGGGUCCCCUCUGAGCCCGCGAGUGGAGGGAGAGUCCGGGCUUGCCCCUUCUUUCCAAGGACGGACCGGAGCCGCCUAGUCGUAGCACGGGCAGCACGACCUGCCUGUAGUCCGGGCCUGGGUCUCUGCCUGCCUGGCUGCCUGUCCUGCUGGCGACCUGGCCAGCGUGACAGCCCUGUACUCGGGGCGUGUGUCACGAGCCGUGGAGCCCUCUGUCCCCAGGAGCAGCCCGCCCUCCGUGUAAGCAGGGCUGGGGAGGCUGCCCUAGCCAGGCACCAGGAACGAGCCCUCCCUCGCCCUUUAGAGGGUGCAGGUUGAGGAAGCGCUGUGCCAGAGGGCGCAGUCCUGCCUUUGGCGCUGCUUUUGGCUGGGGCGACCUCCCCGCAGUUGGGGUCGAGGUCGCUCCCUGGGCUCCUGAAGACGUGGUGUUGUGCUGCAGCCAAGACGGCCAGCCCGUAACUGGGGCGCAGGUCGGAGGCUCAGUGGGGCUUGUUGGGAGUGUGUGCUGAGCCCAGGGGGACUGCCCUGUAAGUAGGGUUGUGUGUGCCCCCUGCGCUCGGUGGGAGGUGCUUGGAGGGACCCCCUGUAAUCAGGUGGGUGUCCCUGGCCCCGGCGUUUCAGAGGCAAAGAUUUUGAAGUUGUGUCUUCUUACCACAGAAUUGGAAUGGCUUCUAAAAAUCUAGGGAAUAGCACUGAGCCAAGUACCUCCCCCAGACCCAUAAAAACCAUCCCAAAAGCGCCAAAAUGCUCUUGUGUGACCACAGCCCUGGUGACACAGGGAGGUCCCUUUGCCCAGAGCGCCUUUCUCUCUCCCUUUCUUCAGCCUGCCCCUCCUCCUCUCGCUCGCUCUUGCCUUGUGGUUCCACGCACGAUGGAUGCCUCUUCUUUCUUUCUUUCUUCUCCGGGAGCUGCUGCCAAGGAAGGAGGGCGCAGUCAAGCACCAGCUCCUCUGCCUGGAGGAGAGAGGGACGCUGGCCCUCGGAGGGACCUCCCCACAGCGUUCCCCGGUCCCUGGCCAUCCUUCCCCCCUUCUACCCCCUACCGCUCCAGGCUCAGCUGCCUUAGACCCGCUUUUCUCACUGUGUGGUGCCCAGCAGCCUGGAUGUUUAAAGAGCAGAGGCCCCAGCCCUGCUUCCGGGGCGGUGGCCCAGCUCAGGGCAAUAAAAGGGCUUCCCAGUGCCAGGGCUGCCUGGGCAGGACCUGGGCCCUGCUUGCAGGCACGUCCCCGGUGCCCAGAACGGGCCCCUUCCCCCCAGCCUCCCGCCUUCCCCCGUGGUUCUCUUUCUCCCAAGCUGCUCCUGGGGCUGAGAGCAGAGAGAAAGGGGACCAGGGCAGGGCAGGGCAAGGCAGGGCAGGGCAAGGCAGCAGAUUGAGGGUGGCAAGCACCACUUGCAGGCCCCAAACACCAGUCACCCUACAACCAGCUGCUCCGCAUUGAAGUGGCAGCUUCUCCCAAGUGAUGAGGAGCCCACCUCUGGAAGUUCUUCUGCCCAAGCCCCCAAAACCUCCCAGGAAAAGCCCUUGCAACAGUCACAAGCCACCACUGCUGAUUCACUUGCCUUCAGGGCAGAAAGUGCCCAGCACUCUUGAUAGUGCUCAGCUGGCAGCCUGUGUGGGGUGACCGCCCUGUUAGCAGGGUGCGGGUCAGGGUGCCCCUGAAUCGGAGAGAAGGAGCCUCCGUGGGCCUUUGGGACCAGGGCUGCCCUGUAAGUGAGGGCCCGGCCGGUGCCCUGGAGUCCUGGGCGCUUUGCAGUCCAGGCAGCGGCUCGAGCCCCCUGUAAGCAGGGGUGCAGCCUCUUUGGCCGCUGCUUUGCAUGCCCAGCUGGAUUUGCCCAGGGUGCCUGCCUCCGAGCCCAGCUCCAGCACUGGCGGGAACGCCGCAGGCGGCAGUGGUCGUGGCCGGGGGAGCACCAGAGCAUCAAUUUGCGGCCGCUGGUGGAGAAGAAAGAAGAGGCAUCCAUCACGUGGCAGGAACUGUGAGGCAAGAGUGAGCGAGAGAGGAGAAGCGGCAUUGGGCUGAAGAAGGGGCAAGAGCACGGCACUCCUGGGAAGGCAAUCUCCCUGUCUUUGGGGCUGGGAAGCCUAAAGCAGCCCUGGCCCUUUGGGCAGGUUGUCUGUGCUUCUGGAGCAGGUACUUGGCUCAUUGCAGGUCUCAAGAUUUUUAGAAGCUAGCUGCUCCGCUUCUGCAUUAAGAUGACACGACUUCCCAAAGAUGUCUCAGAACGACUUUUUGUACCUUGAUGUUGCUGCACCAGCUGUGGGGAGUGGAAGGGCUCUGCAGCCACCCAAAAUGUCCUUUGAGGCUGUGCGCGUGCCAGGGGACAAGUACUCAAGAGCAGGGAUUUUGAGGCGGUUUCCCCUGUUCUGAAUGCUUCUCCCUCAGCACCUGCACGGGGGAGGAAGCUGCUGGACCUCAGCCGCUGGAGGAACGCGUUCCUCCUCUCUGUCCCAAAACAGCCUCUGUCCCUGCCCUUUGCCCAGCUAUUCAGUGCUGGGGGUACCCAAUAAAAUGCUUUCUCCAA